rnacentral:rRNA from 1 species
GAGUUUGAUCGUGGCUCAGGAUGAACGCUAGCUACAGGCUUAACACAUGCAAGUCGAGGGGCAUCGGGAAGAAAGCUUGCUUUCUUUGCCGGCGACCGGCGCACGGGUGAGUAACACGUAUCCAACCUGCCCUUUACUCGGGGAUAGCCUUUCGAAAGAAAGAUUAAUAUCCGAUAGUAUAUUAAAACCGCAUGGUUUUACUAUUAAAGAAUUUCGGUUAUCGAUGGGGAUGCGUUCCAUUAGUUUGUUGGCGGGUAACGGCCCACCAAGACUACGAUGGAUAGGGGUUCUGAGAGGAAGGUCCCCCCACAUUGGAACUGAGACACGGUCCAAACUCCUACGGGAGGCAGCAGUGAGGAAUAUUGGUCAAUGGACGAGAGUCUGAACCAGCCAAGUAGCGUGAAGGAUGACUGCCCUAUGGGUUGUAAACUUC